rnacentral:rRNA from 1 species
GACGAACGCUGGCGGCGUGCUUAACACAUGCAAGUCGAACGGAAAGGCCCUGCUUUUGUGGGGUGCUCGAGUGGCGAACGGGUGAGUAACACGUGAGUAACCUGCCCUUGACUUUGGGGAUAACUUCAGGAAACUGGGGCUAAUACCGGAUUGGAGCUCCUGCUGCAUGGUGGGGGUUGGAAAGUUUCGGCGGUUGGGGAUGGACUCGCGGCUUAUCAGCUUGUUGGUGGGGUAGUGGCUUACCAAGGCUUUGACGGGUAGCCGGCCCGAGAGGGUGACCGGCCACAUUGGGACUGAGAUACGGCCCAGACUCCUACGGGAGGCAGCAGUGGGGAAUAUUGCACAAUGGGCGGAAGCCUGAUGCAGCAACGCCGCGUGCGGGAUGACGGCCUUCGGGUUGUAAACCGCUUUCGCCUGUGACGAAGCGUGAGUGACGGUAAUGGGUAAAGAAGCACCGGCUAACUACGUG